GGCAUAAUUUCCAGAAAUUGGUCCAAGGUCUUAGAAAGACCAGUUUCUGAGUAACUUUGCAGUUACAAAUAUCUUGAGGAUGAAGGCCUUGGACAAAAAAUAAAGGCAACAGUUGAUGAUCAAUGUAAUAGGACAAUACUUGCCUGAUAUGAAAUUGGUUCAGAUAAUUUUUUCCUAUGAAGGAAGCAUUGCCAGUUGUCAAUUGGUAAAGGUUUGCAUGAUGAACACCAGGUGUCAAUGGACUUUGGAUCAAAAUAGCUCCUUACAUCCUCAACAGAAGUAGUAUAAGUAUAGAGGCUUUGAUGGAGCAGCGUCCCCAUUUCAAUCAUCCUUGAGAUUCCCAAUUUGGAAUCAAGGGAAGACCUGUAUCUUGAACAAGAUAUAGUCAUAUCCGAAUGAAAUUUAAAUAUUGUCACUACCUUAAUCCAAAUUAAUUUUGGAUUAAAUUGGGAAUUUGUCACGAAAUUAAUCCAAAUUAAUUUUGGAUUAAAUAGUUUCAUAUGGUUUUUUGGACUUCCAAAAUUCCAAUUGGGUCGAAAGAACAAGGGCGGGGGAUAAGUAGGAUGAAGAUGAUAUUUUUGGAGCAAAUUAGAGUAAUAAACAGGAGGUUCUUUGAAUGAAUGGUUGGAGUACAACUAAGGAUCUGUAAUAGAAAGAGGCUUUGGAGAGGAUGAAUUUUGAUUUUUGAGAUUUUCUUUUCCGACUUGUUCAUUUAUUUUCUGAAGCAAAACCCUAGGAUAUUGAUAAACUUUUUUAGGAGGCAUAUUAUGAGAAUUUUUGGAGAAGAUCUUCGGAGAAAUGAAGCACAGAUCCGGUAUAUUGGAAAAUAUCAUACUAAUCAUUAUACUUGUUGAUAAUAUGAAACUGAUAAUAGAAAUCAUUGAAGAGGACAUGUUUUAAAGAAGAUGAACUUUAGAUGCAAAUUGAUAAUUACUAGGGAGCUUUUGUUUCUCCUAUUCUUUUUCUCUCUCUAGAAUAGAGUGGGUCGACUAAGAUAGUGAGAUGAGAGGUGAGUAGGUGACCAUAUUCCGUCUAUACAUAUAAGAUAAGUGGAAACCCUAAUCGCGAGUUAGUGACGGCGCCUCUUAUUCAUUCCUUCUUCCCUCUUUCAGACUCACUCUAUAUCUCGAUCACCAUUAGUUGUACCGCAUCACCGUAAUCAUGCCUGAAAGUUGAAUUCCAUGGUUGCGUGGAGUUUCGUUGUGUAGGUAUCAUCUCUUUGGUAAGCUCUUUUAAUCUCCAAACUCUAGUAUCAAAAUCUGUAAAAAUUAGUGUUAGGUUUAUUUAAAUUAUCUAUGUUCUUUAUCUCCUUGAAAUCUUGUGAGUUUAAUUUUGACCUUGAACUAUAAAAUUGUAACCUUUUUUCACUCUCAUAUAAUUUCGAAGUAGUUGGGCGAUGUGUAGGUUAGCAAGAUUUCACCGUCACGAGAGAACUUUAAGAUAUUGAGAUGCAAUUUGACUAUAUCAGGAGUAUUCAACUAUUUAUAUCAUGAGUAUCCAACUAUUAAUUAUUCAAUUGUUCGACUAUAAAUUGUCAGGUUGUCUUAUUUGGUGAAUUUGGUGUUCAGUUUGUGUUGUAAGAUCUCUUAAUCUAUGUCCUCUAGUAUCAAAAUCUGUAAAUUUAUUGUCGGAUCUCUUUAAUUUAUCUAUUUCCUUUAUCCCCAAAAAAUCUUAUGAGUUUAAUUUAGGUAUUUUAUGAUUCCAGUUUUAUUAAGUGGCAUGAUAGCAUACUCUUUUAAUGAAUCUUGUCAAAGUAUGAUUAAUGUUUAAGUGGCCUGAUAGAAUACUCUUUUAAUGAAUCUUGUCAAAGUAUGAUUAAAGUUUAAGUGGCUUGCUAGAAUACUUGUGGAGUUGUGGUUGUAUUCUUUUAAGUGGCCCACUAUGAUUAAAGUUUUAAUAAGGUGCAAAGUAACACAAGUCGAACUAGUUAGCAUGCUAGCAUACUCAUGGUUGUAUUUUGAUGAUUUUGAUGAUUUAAAGCUCUUCAUUGUACGUGGUUUUGGUUGAUUUAUAAUCAAUCUUAACCCUGUGUAGGAUAUACUUUAUUUCUGUGAAGAGCAUUGCCUUGUCAAAAGAGUGGGGUUUAGAAAAGAAGGUCUUACCAAAAGAAAUAUGGAUUCUAUGGUAGAAAACUUACAGUCUAUGUUAGGGUGUUUAGAUCCAUUACCUUGUCAAGGUAGGUAUUUUCAUGUGCGAUGUUCAACACAUAUUCUGAAUCUGAUUGUAAGGGAUGGUUCAAAAGUGAUAAAUGGAUCUGUUGAAUUAGUGCGUGAAAAUGUGAAGUAUAUAUAUGCAUCUUAAGCAAGGAUUAUUAGGUUUGAAGAGUGUAUUUGUAAUUGCAAUUUGGAUUCUUCUUCUAAGUUGUGGUUAGAUGUGUCCACAAGGUGGAACUCACCUUAUAUGAUGCUUUCUCGUGCACUUGAAUAUCAAUCUGCUUUGGAUCUGUUUGGUCCAAAAGAGCAUGAUUAUACUCUUCGUCUCUCUCAAAAUGAUUGUUUGAUGGUUGAAAAAAUGUGUACUUUUCUUAAGAAUUUUUACCAAAUUCACAAAUCUUUUCUCUAGUUCUGAUUAUCCAACUUCUAAUUUGUAUCUUGAAUCAAUCUGUAAGAUUGAGUCGCUUUUGAAAAAAGCUUUUCGUGGUGAGGAUCCUGCAAUUAAAAAAAUUGCAACUCGAAUGCAUGCAAAGUUUGAUAUUUAUUGGCAUUGUUAUUCAAUGCUCCUUUCAUUUUCUGUUGUUCUUGAUCUCCAUCAUAAGCUGCCUUUUUUUAAGUACGUAUUUAAGUUUGUGUAUGAUACUCAAGCUGAGUUUGACCAAAAGGUUAGAGAGGUACAAUUGAAAAUGGUGUGGCUUUAGAACUUCUACAAGGGACCUGGCCAUGCUGGGCCAAGUACCUUGCAACCUAUUGCACCUCCAAGGGAAAUGACUAAUGAUUUUAAGGUAAAUCUGAUUUAUUUUUUAUUUUUUUAUAAAUUGUGCUUUCUGUUAUGAAUUUAUAAAUCCUUGUAACUGAUGAUAUGUUCAUUUAUUUUGCUUGUAGUCCUUUGAUUCUCGCGCUGCAAGUUCUGUGGAUGAUAAAUCUGAACUUCAAAUUUAGCUUGAUUUGCCAUUACAUUAUCUUUCUUAUGGAACUGAUGUAGGCUUUGGCAUUUUGAGCUAUUGGAAAGACAAUGCAUCUUCCUUUCAUGUUCUAUUGUGCAUGGCCAAAUAUAUAUUGGCUAUUCCUAUUACCACGGUUGCUUCAGAGUCUACAUUUAGUAUGGGUGGUAGAAUUAUAAACAAAUUGAGAAGUUGCAUGUUCUCAAGGCACGUCGAGGCAAUUACUUUUGGUAACUGGUUAUAUGGUUAUGAUGAGUCAAUUGUAGAAGGGGUUACCAUUGGUAAAGAAUAUCAUGUUGUAGCUAUCGAUGGUAGGGAAUUGGACUUUGCGAAUUGUAAGUUUUUAGUUGUUUACAUUAUUUUAUCCUUCUAAUAUUUCUCACCUCCUCACAUGGACUCUGAAGUUUGUUGUUGUUAGGAAAUACACUAGUGCCUCUUGAUGUUGAAUUCCAUUUUUCUUCAUUCAAAAGUCCCCUUGAGAUAUUAACAGUCAUGAUGUGCCAAUGAGUAGAACUAGUAACCCAUUGGUACUUUCCAUGAUUGACGAGUUCAGUUGUAUUAAUGUUGUUUAAACCAAUUUGAAUCAGUUAUCGUGGAGUAAUUCAUGUUUGGAUACUUUUCUUAUUGGUAACCAUUGAUUGUUUUUAUUCUUUGGGUUGAUAAUUGGCUUGGUAAGAUCACUGGUAGCAGGUUUGAAUUUUAUUCAUUAUAUUUAGUCUAUUUACCAUUGUUUUAAGAUCAGAUAGUCUGAUAAUUUUUCUAUUAUCUUGUUAGCCGAAGAAGACUAAGAGAUCAGAUGGGACUAUGUAACUACGUCGAUACGAUGAUAUCGACCUUUUGUAAAGAGUAAGUUUUUGAAAGCUAAAAUCAGACUAUGGAGACAACGAAAAGCAUAAACAUGUACUUCUUAUAAACUUUAAUGUACUAAUUUUACAAUUUCAAUUUUUAAUGUACUAAUGUAACAAUAACAUUGUUUAACUUUUCAGCUUAAUUAUAAGAAUUAUAUUAUGGA